rnacentral:tmRNA from 1 species
GGGGGCGACUUGGUUUCGACGUGGGUCACGAAACCUUCGGAGCAUGUCGAGGUUGCAGAGUACCUCGUAAAUAAAGCUGCAAACUUUACAGUUGCCAACGACGACAACUACUCCUUAGCCGCUUAACCCGGCUAAGCCUCUGACUGGUGCGAGCCUGUGCGCUCAGAUUACAGAGGUCAUAUUUACAGGAUCGUGAGAUGGUUCGUUCAUCGGCCUGAUCACUAAAAAUUAGAUGAACUCACGGUUAGCGAGCCUGUCUGUCGGCGCGCGAGCUGUUAAAUCAAAGACUGACUAAGCAUGUAGCCGCCGUCGAGCGUAGGACCAACGGACGCGGGUUCGAUUCCCGCCGCCUCCACCA